rnacentral:lncRNA from 1 species
AAGAAACCGUACUUCCCUUGGGACAAGGACCAGUAGCCUCCUCAUCCUUUGAAUAAGCAAGUGACUUUGACACCUUCAAGAGAAGCCUGUCUGUGAAACUUACACUACUCCGGGAUGAAAUUCCGUGGCUACACCAUACAGUUUGUGCGGUAUUUGGAUUCCAACGUCAAGGUACCUGGCGUUCCCUGGGAUGCUGUGGAAAUGCUGGGGCAUCAGGCUGUCAUGGUCAACCAACAUGAGUUUUAUUGUUGGAACCAAGAGCCAAGACCUCUGCUGAAUCGUCCACUGCAAUCUUCAAUGACUCUGCAUGUCCACAGAGCUGAUGGGGAACCUCUGAUUCCUGUCUGAGCGACAGAGGAUGCCUUUCCCCUACAAGAUGGGGACUACACCCUCUGCAUGCUUGCACUGGCCUUCUCUGGUCCCUGAGGCUCCACCUCUUCAUCUGUGCCCUCCUCACCCAAGGUCUCUGCAAGUCACAGGAGCUCCUCAUCUACCUCCUCCCGGCCUGGGCCAAGCUGUCCACCCAUGAUGCCAGGAGGACCAAAUUUAAUGGGGUGACCGGGACUGUGGGGCUUGCUCCUCUGUCUCGUCCACCCACGAGUCCAAAAGGGACAUCAUUAAAUAGUGUCUUCCAGCUUCUCAUAUUCCUUCUGGGAAUGAUAGAUGUUGUCAGGCAUGCUCUGCUUGAUGUCCUCCCCCAAUUUCCUUGCUACCCCUGCCUGUGCCCUUGACCCUCAUACCCCUUCCUCCUUUUCUUCUCCUUCUUUAGUUCCCCUCAUGUCUCUUUUUCCUUUAGCCUUCUCCCCUUCCAGGAGAGCUCUAGUCUGACCCUAAGAGAAUGGCAGGAGUCCCUGAGGUUUCCUUUGGAUUGAUGGCCCCUGAAGCUUACAGAAAACACCUUCUGGAAGGCUCUGCCACAAGGCAGAUAUUGCCAGGUUGUGCCCUUGCUCCUGCCUGGUGAGGCUGACUCAAGCCCCAGUGACAUUAAAUGCAUUCAGAGUACUUUGCAGGGUUAGGCCUACAAAAGGCCUCUGGCGUUGUCUAACUGGGAGGAAAGCAGAACAUGGUGGGGAGCCCGGCUGCAGCCAGUGCAGGUACAUGGUCCCCAUGAGAGGCAAUUGCAAUGAUGGCUGGAGAUAUUUCAGCUGCUCAAGAGGAGUAAAGAUCCAGAGGUCCUGGUGAAAGUUCAGGAAGGCAAAAAGAAGCAAAAUCCAUAGGAGAAGUCAUGUUUUGCCAGACAAAACUCUCUUCUGUUGGAGGCUUUUUUAUGUCCUUAAUUUUGCUACCCACCCUUCCCCCCCCCCCCCCCCAAAAAAAAACCAACAAAUCACUGAAGCAUUUGCUCUUGUUCAUACACUUAUCAAAUACAUAAAGGGAAGUUAGACAGGAAUCUGAUCUUUCUGAAGUCUGCAUUUUCAAAAAUAUUUCCCUUUAGGAGUUUGUGAAAUUGAAUUUAGGUUGAUAACCCUGCUUUGUUCACCCAGCCUUACAUCCUCAGAGAGUAGUGAGAAAUAUGAAAAGAUUUUAGCAAAAUGUAAUCAUGGCAAUUCAGUACAAUGGCAUGCAGACAAAGAUAAGAUGAGAAAUAAGGUACUGUUCCCUCUGCUUUCCUUGUUCUCUCACUUAAGUGAUAAUUUUCAUACCUUACUUUUGAAAGAUAUAAUUACAGUAAUUGGAAUCUGACUAUUUCUGAGAGAUAUGCUGCACAGUCCUUUUCCCCUUUGACAUUUGUGUCUUUUUAACUAAUAUAAGAUCUUUAAAUCACUAAAUAAAUAUGUGGGACCUGAUUCUCUGCUGUGUACA